GGAAUCUUCCACAAUGGGCGAAAGGCCUGAUGGAGCAACGCCGCGUGUGUGAUGAAGGGUUUCGGCUCGUAAAACACUGUUGUAAGAGAAGAAUGACAUUGAGAGUAACUGUUCAAUGUGUGACGGUAUCUUACCAGAAAGGAACGGCUAAAUACGUACCAG
rnacentral:rRNA from 1 species